GGAAUGUUACACAUAGGAAUGUUACACAUAGAUUCUACUGUUUGAAACAUCUCCACCUCUGAGACGUGAGAGCAGAUAGCACAUAUCUGUAAUGGUUUCUCUGAUAUUCUGGAUCAACUAUCAUGGAACAAGAGUUUUAUAGUUUUCAGCGGUUGUUACUCCUCUUGAGCUCGACGAAAGGCUCAAAGUUUUAACAGACUUUUAUUCGGACACAAAGAUUCUUUUAAAUUCUCUUUCCAUGCCCCAACAGUGCCAUCAUAAACUAUGAAAUAAAAAUUUACAGUGUUCUUAUAGAGAAUAAUAAAGAAAAUACAAAUAAACGCCACAAUAUGCAAGAUAGACACUUUCACUUAGCUUUAAUACAAUCUCAGACCAGAAAUUAAUUAAAAGGACAAAAUGAAAUCCAUUCCUCAUUGGCUGCAUUAACUCCAGAGGGAUAAACUUAAAAAAAUACAUCUUCAUUCUUUUAGGACUUCUUUAACAGUCAUAACCCUGACAGAGCUCUCCCUACAGGACCAUGUGAGACUCACCCAGGUGUGGUAACUUAUCCAACAUCCCCCAAGGAACCAAAAAUAAGUCCCCCCCUCUUGAAACAAAGUUUUUAACUGAUUAACACCAUUAUGUAAUGACUGUAAAAUGUCACGUGUUUAUUUCAAAUGAUUAGAAAACAUUUUUUACUAUCAAUAACCCUUUUUAACUCAAAAUGUUUUUAAUAAACAAAAAUAUGAGUUAGAGUUGCCUUUGACAGCAGCUACAACGGUCCUUGGGGUACAAAAUAAAGAGUAUUUAUAUGUAUAUAUAUAUAUAUACAUAUUCCACUAUUUUAACAAUAUUUUUAUAUGGGUAUUAUUGUACAAAUGUUUACUAACAAAAACGACAGAGAAAGAUGUUUUUCUUUCAUGAAUAUGUUUAGUUUUUCAAAUGUUUCUAAAUAUGAAUGACAUUUGUUUUUUGUACAUACAUGUUAGAGGUUUCCUCUUCAUCCUCUGUUCUUUUGGUUCUAACAAGCUUGUCACAGAAACUGGAUUCAGUAAAGGAGAAAACACAUUUUUGGUAUGGUAUCUUUGUACUUUUUUAUUUCGUCUACAGUAAAAUACUUACAAAGGGAUUCUUGGAAACAAUGGGACUUCUGUUACUUUCAUUCACUGUUAUUGCUUUCUUGGAUCCUCAAAGGUCUAACAGACUUUCAGGAGGUUAAACUGUGUAUUUUACUGUAUAUAUCACUGUGAUAAUAAACAUGAUCUCUUCGUCUC